AUCUGGACCAUCUGAUAGCGAUUAAAUAUGAAAUGAAUCUGCACCAUUCAUCGCGAUUCAAUCUGGGUCGUCCGUAUGCGAUUCAAUCUGGACUGUCUGAGUGCGAUGCAAUCUGGACCGUCCGAGUGCGAUGCAAUCUGGGCCGUCCAUGCGCGUUUUUAAUCUGGGUCGUCCGCGCGCGGGAACAGAUCUCAGUCGUUCAAUCGCGCGCACGCGGAUCGCCCACGUGGCUCCCUUCCGCAUGGCCUCCUGCGUCAG
rnacentral:lncRNA from 1 species